UGCUGCUCGCAACCAGUGCGUUAAAAUGGAAAAGAUGGAUGGCGAUUAAGAAAUGUGUCCAGAAUUUUAACACGUCAUGUAAGGUAAUUAAACUUUACGAAAAUAGACAUGGUUAGAAGAUCUACACAACUUCACCUAGGUUUCUACACAUUUUGUAAAUUUCAAAAUGGCAGCCAUUUUUGUUUUCGGUAUUUUAAAUUGAUGAAACCAGAAUUGUAGUUUGAACACAACCGUCUGUGUUCUACUUGAAUUUGUAACAUUUGGAACGCUGAUUAAAUUUGAAUCGAUGCGUAUAGCGAUAUUUUGUCUCGUUACUCUUCUUUUGCGUGGAAUUCUAAAGGACUAUUUCGAGUUCCGUAAAUGGGAAAGCUCACAAUCAAUAAUACUACGCAAUGUUAGAUUCAGCAAAUUUAAUGUGUUUUUGCUUUUAUUUUUAAAUUAAAGACUACUUUUUUUAUUGCAUCAGAAAUAAAUUAAAUAAAAAAAUAUUGUAGGAUAAAUACAAUACUAUGUAAGUGUGAGUGUGUAUUUAAAUUUAUCCCACUCGUCUAAGAAAGGCUUACAAGGCUCGGCAAGCCUCGCCAUGUAAACCUUUCUUCUCUCGUGGAAUAAAUUUAAGUACACAAUCACACUAACAUAUUAUUCUCUAUGUUUAAAGCAUCUAACGAAUCAAAAACGUAUUUCGGAUUGUAUUUGUUAUGCAUAACACCUUAAGAACAGACACUGGAAGUGUAUAUCGUUGUAACUUUAUUGUUAUUAGCAUUGGAUUAAAGUUGACAUUUAGGUAAAUAUGUCCUUUAUACUAAAUUGAGUUCUUUAUGACUCCUGUCAAAGCGUAAAUAAUGACAUUAAUCUAUUUUACAGCACAGUUUCAGCUGCAAUCGAUAUUUUAAUUAUCCAAAAACAAUGGAAAUGCAAAACUGGGUACUGCGCACGCGCGAAUGGGACAGUAUACUUUUUUACCAUUCCGCACGUGAUUGCUAAGGUAGCGGGCGACAGUCUUGUUUGGACAGUAAAUUUUAUCCCGCUGGUUGGUGCGGGAUGGGGUCUCCCUCCUGCGGGGGGGGGGGGGGGGGGGUUGGUUGUCUCCCCCUUGAAAAUUUUGGAAAAUUCAUUGCAGAUGGUGCGUUUUGGUGUUAUCUUUCAGCCACGUGUUGGCAAUUUAAUUCAUCACUUUCUUGCUUGAAAAAGACGUAUAAAAGGAAAUAUUAUAUUAAACAUUGUCAACAGCAAACAUACUUUCGACCAUAAGGCCAGAGUUUUUUUAUCUUCUGUUUAACGGGAGCGCCGUGUCCAAUUUUCCGAAAAGUGAUUAUUUUUUCCUCCGUAUCCAACAAAAGUGGUCUUCAAAGAAACGUUAUUAAAAGAGAAAUGUUGUAUCGUAUCAUGCAUAUACAUUUUAUUUCACUAUUAUUUCAUAAUGUUAACUAACGCUUCAUACCGAUUUUCGGGCUACUUGCACCGACAUGUGUGUGUUAACAAUACAACUGCGGAUAUGUCAAACAUCAUGCACAUUCAUGAAUAAUCAUUCUUGUUCACGAAUGAUUUAACUUACUACAAUCUUUUCAAAAUUGAAGUAGGACCGCCCUUCGCUGAGAAAAUAGUACCCAAAUUUGACACUGAAUAAAAUGUUUUACGAUAGACCGAUCGAAAUUUCGAAAGUAGGUCUAAAAACUAGAAAGUCUAACUUAAAUUACCAAAAGUAUUGUCCGCAAAUGAGAAUUAGGUAUCCGCAUCUUUAAACAAAACGCGCAUUUAUACCAUUUGACCUCGAUUUACCUGCAAGAGGGAGGCGCCAUUUUUGUUUUGCUUCGCUAAUCGGUAUCGUUCAUAAUAGUCGGAAUAAUUAAACCAUACUCGCGUUAACUAUACAGAAAACACCAGAAAAGUGUGUCUGGCUUUGUAAAAGAUGAAAGACUGCAAAGAGUAACGAUGGAGUAUCCAGGUCCCUUCUGCUAGGAAGUGGGACUCUGCUACAACUCCAUCAUAACCCAUCCAGGAGAGAAGAAAGGCCAACAGACUUAUCUUCUUCUAUAAGGUGGUUGAGAGCAGGUACCAGCCAUGCCUAGCCAAGACUUCCUCCCAGUCCAGCAAUCUAAACGCAGAGUUAACCCUAAGACUUUCUCAGACUUAAAAGGCAAAAGCAGAUAACAUUGUAGUUCUGGCAACCAUAACAUUAAAUGUCGCUUUUUAUGAUUUUUGACUGGCGCGACUUUAUAGUUAUGGACCAACCCCAUUAGGAAAGUCAACCAGAAAUUCCCGAAAGGUUGACAGUUAACAAAGACCGGUCCAAAAAAGGUUUUAAAUGCAGUUAUUGGCCCAAAUCAACAACUUGAUCGGAAAGAUUGACUUUUUUCACAUUUAACUGAUAUAUUCUUUCACAAAAUACUAUCUUAAACAUUUAAAAUUUAUCUAUUCUGCUCUUACAUAUCGAGAAAAACAGCGAUGUGACAGACUUUCUUGAAAUGCGAAAUUCCCGAGAUUUCACGGUCAUAUGACGUUAUUUCUAUUUUUAGUAACAUACCAUGUGCUCAAGUGAUUUCAAAUUCAGAAUGACAUUUCUUGGUAGUUUAGAUUAGUCUGGCUUGUUUUGUAAACAAAUUGUAGUUUAAAUACAAACUCAAAGUAAAUAUUAUUUAAAACUACCCGAUUCACACUGAAAUCAGUCUUAUAAUCCACCAGACGUAAGUUGUUAAUCACAAAUAAUAGAUUUCAGAAAACGAAAGUAAUGUUUUUACAAUUUCAGCAUAAAAUGUCAAGGUCGAUCCGAAAGUAUCCAAAUGAAAACUCGUCACGUGACAAAGCGACAAUGGCGUCAAAAUUGUGAAUUUCAGACUGAUGAGAGUUAUUUUGAUCUAUUGUGAGAUGCAUUUGAAACAUUUGAACCUUAAAAUAUUCCUCGAUGCAGCAAUUUAUAUUCAUUCACAAAUAUAUGUAGAAAUCUCUGGUUGACUUUCGAAACGGGGUUGGCUUCAGCGUACAGGUAUGUCAAUACUAUAUAAACUGUAAGCUCAAGUUUCUUUAGCUUAUAACAUUGUUGAAAAUUAUUAUAGAAAAAAAACUCUUAAGUGUUUCAUACAAAUCAAGUGUUAAACCCUACUAUGUAAAAACUAUUUAAUUUUCCUAUGACAUUAAUAGAGUGGAAUAAUCUAGAAGAAAGUUAAUUGCGCGCAGACACAGUUUGCAGUUUCAAUGGGACUAACCUGACAAGCCUCUCUACCAUUGUGCCAAUGUCGAAGAUCCCGGCAAAGUACCCAUCCAGAACCAAGCAAGUUGAAAAACCCAGUUCAUUGACACAUGGAAUCGUCGUUGAAAUAUUCAACUUCACGAAGAAGAAUAGUUUUACCUUAAGACAUUUUGUAGAAUUGCUCUGUAUGUUAAAUAAUGACUGUAAGAAUGUGUUCCCAUCAACUCUGACAUCACAAGUAAACAGUGUUCUUGAGUGUUAAAAGAAGUUAGUAGUAAGAAGAAAGCUCCAAGUUUUCAAACGGUUGAACAAUUACUGAGAAUAGACUUUAAUGUGUGUGUAAAAAAGAAAACUGUUUAAACAAUUGGUGAGUCAGUCGACUCAGUGCAAACUGCUAUUGGCUCUGAGCAAAAAUACGUCGUUUCUAACGAGGAAGGGUUAUUUCUAAUUAAAGGAACUCAAAAAAAUACUUCUCUAAAUUGUCAUUGAAUGUUUUAGUAUUGAAAUAUUGAGAUGUUUUAUUGAAUCGUACUAUAUGAAAGCACUUGAAAUUAUUGCAGUUUAUUUGUUUAAUGUUGUAUUGACUUAUUAAGGAUUUUCACCAUUUAAAAGCA